GAUGAACGCUGGCUCCAGGCUUAACACAUGCGAGUCGAGGGGAAACGACGGGGAAGCUUGCUUCCCCGGGCGUCGACCGGCGCACGGGUGAGUAACGCGUAUCCAACCUGCCUCUGACUGAGGGAUAACCCGUCGAAAGUCGGCCUAAUACCUCAUGGCAUCGUCUGCGGGCAUCCAACGACGAUUAAAGAUUUCAUCGGUCAGGGAUGGGGAUGCGUCUGAUUAGCUUGUUGGCGGGGUAACGGCCCACCAAGGCUACGAUCAGUAGGGGUUCUGAGAGGAAGGCCCCCCACAUUGGAACUGAGACACGGUCCAAACUCCUACGGGAGGCAGCAGUGAGGAAUAUUGGUCAAUGGGCGGGAGCCUGAACCAGCCAAGUAGCGUGCAGGAUGACGGCCCUAUGGGUUGUAAACUGCUUUUAUGCGGGGAUAAAGUGAGGGACGUGUCCUUCAUUGCAGGUACCGCAUGAAUAAGGACCGGCUAAUUCCGUG
rnacentral:rRNA from 1 species